AAAUCAGGCUAAAACAACACAACCAAGAACAAUACAUGAAAAUCAGCUAAAAUUACAUGAAGAUGGACGGCUCCAGUAGCACACCAAAGGCCCCCUCAACAGCGACCGAAUGAACCACCAUGCUUAUGUUAGGAGUUGAAUUGCUAAAGGCACAAUCAUUACAUGCUUCUAUAACUCCCAAGCCACAAGAAUGAAUGACGAGGGAGUUAAACUCUUUUCUGAAUUGCUUAUCUACAUGCUUGAUUGCACGGCACCACCACCCUGAAAAGGUACGUCCGGCUGGGGCGCGUACAAAAAUCUCAUCGUCCUGACCAACAAACAGAAAGUGAAGUUGAGAUCAAGUUCAGUUCAGUGGUACAUGCGGAUGAAUCAGUGAACAACGACGCUACCUACGAUGAGCUGUAUCUGUGGCCGACUCACUCCGCAUGCGCACGAGCACGAGGAGAGUACUUCCUCUGCCUGAUGCCAUGAUCGACCUGUCCUACAGCUCCUGAUAGGUCAUCGACCGAUCGAGACCCAGAUGAGAUAGCCAGCUCGAGAUUCAAGUAGAGAAACGAGCGAGAAUUGAUUCAGAUCGAUCCAUGGCAGAGAUCGAUUGAUCUGCAUCAGCAGCAGCAGCAGCAACAGGUUGUGUCUGAGCUUGAAACUUUGUAUGGUGUUUUGCCAUCGCAAUCCCCGCCUAUGUGAUUUGUUUCA